rnacentral:tRNA from 1 species
AUGAUGUUAGCUCAGUAGGGUAGAGCAGUUGACUCAUAUUCAACCUGUCGCCGGUUCGAUUCCGGCACAUCC